GAUACAUAAUAAAAGCAGAGGAGGUCUCUCUCUCUCUCCCUUCUUCGAGGAAUUGUACAUGUGGGGAACUGUGAUGUUUGAAUCUACAAGGGAAACGCUUUGACUCACUCGUGAAACCCUCGUUGAGUAGUAUGUUUGUGUGGAGAAACCAUCGCUGACAGAUUCCAUUACAUCAUACCUCUGGAUAGAGUCACUGAAACAAUUGAAGAUAAGAUCGGAUCUUGGAGGCAAAGAAGUAGCAGCAGUAAAACAGUUAAGCUCUUUUACUUUCUCUUCUACUGUUUUGUUUCCAAGUUUGGUUGUUAUUAAACCCCAAAGAAGAUCAUAGGCAGACACUAAUCUAAUAGUGUUUUGUCAGAUUCUUAUUUGGGGACAUUGUCCCACUGUUGCGUGAAGCCUAGACCCUGAGAAAAGUUUGAAAUCAUGGCCCCAACAACUCUAUUGGUUGGUUUGGUUGGUGGUAGUGCAUGUCUAAGUAAAUGAUGGAAAGUAUGACAGAAUUUUGUUACCCACGGCUUACAAAACACAACAAACGGCUUAAGAA